AGUCCCGAGGUGUCACCACAUUAGUUUGCAAGCCUAAAGUUGCAGGUUAAACCCCUGCCGGGACUU
rnacentral:tRNA from 1 species